rnacentral:tRNA from 1 species
ACCUGGCUGGCUUAGUCAGAGGAACAUGAGACUCUUGAUCUCAGAGUUGUGAGUUCAAGCCUCAUGACAGGUG